ensembl:snoRNA SNORA72 Small nucleolar RNA SNORA72
CUGCGAAUAUUCUCGCUGUUCUGAUUUUUGUAAUGAUCAGAACAGGCUAAACAUUCGCUAUAUUAAGACCACACCUGUGUCCCCAGACCUCCUUCUUUCCCUGGGUCUGGUUUUCUAAAUGCUGGUGAUAAAC